AGCCAGCUGACGAGUCCCAAAUAGGACGAAACGUGCAUCCUGGAU
rnacentral:hammerhead_ribozyme from 1 species